AUAAUCAAACUUUACCUUUACGUAGAACUAAAAGAAGCAUUCCAUGCUACUUUCCAACAACGUGUAACAUUUUAAAACAAGUUCACUUACCAAAAGGGAGACAAACUGAAAGAAGUAACACAAAAAUACAAAUGCAAAAUUGCUUUUUUCUAGAAAUGGUCUAAAAUUUUUAUUGUGAGAGAAAGAAUAACAGGGAACACAUUUGUUUGUUUCCUUUGGGACCUAAGACAAACGUAUUGAAUAUUCUGGUACUUUCCCCUCUAGCCACUACUUCCUUCAUUGGACUGCAAGGUAUUUCUGUUUGGAAAAGUAAUGGAGUCCAGUCAACUUCAUUGAUCGCCAAGGACUGUCAAAAUUAUAAAACUUGCUGUGGAGCUCUGACAUGCCAGAAGCCGCUAGAAAAAGAAGUUUGACAUUCAGAAACUUAUCAAGAGGUUCUACUCUUUGGAUAGAGACCAAAAUCAUACUUUGAAAAAGCCUGACAGGUUUCUUCGGAAAAGUGGCCAUCCAUGGAAUGAAUGAAAUGUUCUCUUUCUAUUCCACCUCUAGAGACCAUCAAAAAACAAUGGCUCAUAAUG
rnacentral:lncRNA from 1 species